rnacentral:rRNA from 1 species
CUACGGGUUGCUCCAGUGGGGAAUCUUGCGCAAUGGGCGAAAGCCUGACGCAGCAACGCCGCGUGGGGGAUGACGGCCUUCGGGUUGUAAACCCCUUUCAGCAGGGACGAAAAUGACGGUACCUGCAGAAGAGGCCCCGGCCAACUACGUGCCAGCAGCCGCGGUAACACGUAGGGGGCAAGCGUUGUCCGGAUUUAUUGGGCGUAAAGAGCUCGUAGGCGGUUCGGUAAGUCAGGUGUGAAAACUCGAGGCUCAACCUCGAGACGCCACCUGAUACUGCCGUGACUUGAGUCCGGUAGAGGAGCGUGGAAUUCCUGGUGUAGCGGUGAAAUGCGCAGAUAUCAGGAGGAACACCAAUGGCGAAGGCAGCGCUCUGGGCCGGUACUGACGCUGAGGAGCGAAAGCAUGGGGAGCGAACAGGAUUAGAUACCCCUGUAGUC